rnacentral:rRNA from 1 species
UCGUCCUACGGACGCAGCAGUGGGGAAUAUUGCACAAUGGGGGAAACCCUGAUGCAGCAACGCCGCGUGAAGGAAGACGGUUUUCGGAUUGUAAACUUCUGUUCUUAGUGAAGAAGAAUGACGGUAGCUAAGGAGCAAGCCACGGCUAACUACGUGCCAGCAGCCGCGGUAAUACGUAGGUGGCAAGCGUUGUCCGGAAUUACUGGGUGUAAAGGGAGCGCAGGCGGGAAGCCAAGUCAGCUGUGAAAACUACGGGCUUAACUUGUAGACUGCAGUUGAAACUGGGUUUCUUGAGUGAAGUAGAG